rnacentral:tmRNA from 1 species
GGGGGCGAUCUGGUUUCGACGAGGGUAGCGAAGCCCGAGGCGCGUGCCGUGCUGGCCAACGGAGCACGUAAAUUCACUGUAGGCAAAGAACAAAAGCCAACGACAACGUUGAGCUCGCUGUCGCCGCCUAACAAAGCGGUUGCAUAGCGCGGAGGCCGGGAGCCCGCCGGAAGCGCCCGUCACCUCCGUCAUCGAAUCCGGCCGAUCCUGCCAAGACGCCCCGGGCGCGGCAGGGCCGUAUCAUCCGGGGAGCUUCACCGGGGAGCCUGCCCUUGGGCGCCUCGGCGAAGGAUAAAACAGGGGCUACGCACGUAGGGCCGAGGAGUAGAGCACUUUCGGACGCGGGUUCGAUUCCCGCCGCCUCCACCA